CGUACUUGUCGGAGGCUUGACGGUACUGUAAGAAUAAGGAUCGGCUAACUCCGUGCCAGCAGCCGCGGUAAUACGGAGGAUCCAAGCGUUAUCCGGAAUCAUUGGGUUUAAAGGGUCCGCAGGCGGUCUUUUAAGUCAGAGGUGAAAGCCUACAGCUCAACUGUAGAACGGCCUUUGAUACUGAAAGACUUGAGUUAUUGUGAAGUGGUUAGAAUGUGUGGUGUAGCGGUGAAAUGCAUAGAUAUCACACAGAAUACCGAUUGCGAAGGCAGAUCACUAACAAUAUACUGACGCUCAUGGACGAAAGCGUGGGGAGCGAACAGGAUUAGAUACCCUGGUAGUCCACGCCGUAAACGAUGGAUACUAGCUGUUCGUCUAACAUUGGUUAGAUGAGUGGCUAAGCGAAAGUGAUAAGUAUCCCACCUGGGGAGUACGGUCGCAAGACU
rnacentral:rRNA from 1 species